ACCGGGGUGGCCGAGUGGGGCAAGGCGCGAGUCGCAGUGACUCGAAGGGCCUCGACCCGACGCAGGUUCGAGUCCUGCCCCCGGUA
rfam:Caenorhabditis briggsae complete genome, chrIII